rnacentral:rRNA from 1 species
CUUGACUCUUAUAAGAGGUCCAGCCUGCCCAGUGACCAUGUUCAACGGCCGCGGUAUCCUAACCGUGCGAAGGUAGCGUAAUCACUUGUUCUUUAAAUGUGGACUAGUAUGAAUGGCACCACGAAGGUUAUACUGUCUCCUUUUUCUAAUCAGUGAAACUAAUCUCCCCGUGAAGAAGCGAGGAUAUAUCUAUAAGACGAGAAGACCCUAUGGAGCUUUAAACAACACAGCAAUUACCUGCUAAACUAAGAAGUUUCUGAACAUUUUCAAUCUUUUAAGUAAUCUGACUGCAAGUUUUUGGUUGGGGUGACCACGGAGCAUAACACAACCUCCAUGUUGAAAGAAUUCUUUCUAAGCCAAGAACAACCUUUCUAAGCAUCAAUAUAUUGACAUCCAUUGACCCAAUACAUUUGACCAACGAAC